rnacentral:rRNA from 1 species
AACGAACGCUGGCGGCAGGCCUAACACAUGCAAGUCGAGCGCAUCGCAAGGUGAGCGGCGGACGGGUUAGUAACGCGUGGGAACGUGCCCUUUUCUUCGGAAUAGCUUCGGGAAACUGAAGGUAAUACCGGAUACGCCCGUCGACGUAUACGUCGACGGGGAAAGAUUUAUCGGGGAAGGAUCGGCCCGCGUCUGAUUAGGUAGUUGGUGGGGUAAUGGCCUACCAAGCCGACGAUCAGUAGCUGGUUUGAGAGGAUGAUCAGCAACACUGGGACUGAGACACGGCCCAGACUCCUACGGGAGGCAGCAGUGGGGAAUCUUAGACAAUGGGGGCAACCCUGAUCUAGCCAUGCCGCGUGGAUGAUGAAGGCCUUAGGGUCGUAAAGUCCUUUCGCUGGGGAAGAUAAUGACGGUACCCAGUAAAGAAACCCCGGCUAACUCCGUGCCAGCCGCCGCAGUAACAC